UGACAAAACGAUUUUCGCCGCCACCAUG
rnacentral:sRNA from 1 species